CCUCAAAGAGAUUCAAGAAUGUGAGCCCAAGUGUCCCUGCAGGGGUGGGCCAGCAUGGCCUGUGCACGUGUCAGCCCUCCGAGGAGAGGGGGGUGGCUUCCUGGAAGUGUCUCAGGUCCAGGAAGCUGAAGAGGUGGAGACAUUACAGAAUCCAACUACAGCCCCCAGGGCUGGCAGACUCCCGCCUGAUGCCGCCAUGGGCCCCCGGCUCUUCCGCUGCGUGGUGUUUUGCCUCCUGGGAGCAGGUCUCAUGGAAGCCAAAGUGACACAGACUCCAAGACACAUCACCACGGGGACCGGACAGAAGUUGACAGUGACUUGCUCUCAGGACAUGAACCAUGACUAUAUGUACUGGUACCGACAAGACCCAGGGUUGGGUCUAAAGCUGAUCUACUAUUCAAUUAACGUGGACAGUGUUGAAAAAGGAGAUGUCCAUGCUGGGUACGUGGCCUCGAGAAAAAAGAAGGCAAAUUUCCUCCUGACCCUGGAAUCGACUAACAUCAGCCAGACCUCCCUGUAUCUCUGUGCUAGCAGUGAUUACACAGCCCUACACAGCCAGCUGCUCUCUGCACAAAAAGAGCAGCCACUAAAGCCAGGAGACACCUCCCGCAGGAAGCCACAUCCCAACCAAGAGGGAAAUCUCACCUCCCCAGCAGAGCCCACAGACGCCCUCCUCACUCCCCCACUUCAGGCAAAGCAGCCCCUCUGCAGUGGACAACACCCACGGGCUAGUCCUGCUCUCCCAUCUAUACCAACGCAUUUGCAACGUUCAGAUGGGACAAGCUAGCUGUGUUAAACCUAGCACGGGGACUAACACCAUGCGAUCCUUUCUUCUCUUCCAAUUGCAUUGUGCUGCUCUCCAAACUAAACAGUCCAUUUCCAAUCCAAUUGUUCUCAAACGACCUUGUUUCCACAUCCCAGGUCCUAUUCCUGGAUGCUCUGUCACGCACCAUGCCCUGAGUUGUUCCCUCGAUCUGACAUCUCCCUUCUUCCGCUUCUCAGAGAUGCUAUGCCAUCCACCCAAAUGCCCAUCCCAACUAAGGGAGAAAUUUCUUGUAUGUUUUGCUGAUUUUUCUACCCUUCUUGAUAAUUGUGCUCCAGCACACACUGUCUGUUGCCUGGAUUCCUCAAGUCACCUUCUAAGAAGUCAAUCUGCCUGCCAGCCUGCCACGUGCCCC